GAUGAACGCUGGCGGCGUGCCUAAUACAUGCAAGUCGAGCGAACAGACGAGGAGCUUGCUCCUCUUACGUUAGCGGCGGACGGGUGAGUAACACGUUGAUAACCUACCUAUAAGACUGGGAUAACUUCGGGAAACCGGCGCUAAUACCGGAUAAUAUAUUGAACCGCAUGGUUCAAUAGUUAAAGACGGUUUUGCUGUCACUUAUCGAUGGAUCCGCGCCGCAUUAGCUAGUUGGUAAGGUAACGGCUUACCAAGGCAACGAUGCGUAGCCGACCUGAGAGGGUGAUCGGCCACACGGGAACUGAGACACGGACAAGACUCCUAAGGGAGGCAGCAGUAGGGAAUCUUCCGCAAUGGGCGAAAGCCUGACGGAGCAACGCCGCGUGAGUGAUGAAGAUCUUCGGAUAGUAAAACUCUGUUAUUAGGGAAGAACAAAUGUGUAAGUAACUAUGCACGUCUUGACGGUACCUAAUCAGAAAGCCACGGCUAACUACGUG
rnacentral:rRNA from 1 species